GCGCCGUCAGACUCGACGGACACCCCCGACAACAGACGUCUCCAGCGACGCGUCUCCGACCGUCAUCGAGUACCGCCACGUCGACACACUGCCGGAGCAGGUGCAGCACGUCCAGACGGCCCGAUUCCGUCUCCAGUACAACCGAUCGGUGCUGGAGCACCUGGAGGGGAUCGGCACCGACUGGCUGUGACCGGCCGAGGCCGUCCAGCGACGCCGAUGGAGGAUGGACCGGCCGACGCCCGCAACGGGACGUGUAACUUGUGCGGUAAGGACGUCAAGAACCUAAAGAUGCCCUUCCGAGGAACACACGACUCCGACUGGGGGCGUUCAGAGCCGCUGGUGGACGGGGACGGAAAACUGGACAGCGUGUCGCUGGCAGGUCAGGUCGGGUCACUGACCUAAGACGUCACAAGUGAACCUCUGCACGGUCCUAAAAUGUCGCCACUUCACAACGCCCUCAUUGUCCUCGGUGCCGGCCGCUGCCGCCGCGCCGUUCGUGCGUCAUCCGACCCCACCGACCGCCGCCGCCGCCGCCUCGGCGCUCCAUGGAUACGCGCCGAUGACCUGAUUGCUCGCCUGUCAUCGUACGCCGACCAACUCGACCAACUCGACCAACUCGAGACGAUCGGCGGCGCCGUCAGACUCGACGGACGUCCCCGACAACAGACGUCUCCAGCGACGCGUCUCCGACCGUCAUCGAGUACCGCCACGUCGACACACUGCCGGAGCGGGUGCAGCACGUCCAGACGGCCCGAUUCCGUCUCCAGUACGGCCGCUCGGUGCUGGAGCACCUGGAGGGGAUCGGCACCGACUGGCUGUGACCGGCCGAGGCCGUCCAACGACGCCGAUGGAGGACGGACCGGCCGACGCCCGCAACGAGCGGCGCCACGCGUGCCAGCGCUGUGGCCAGCAGCUGGGAGCACUCCAGGAGCAGAUCGUGCACGUGCACACGGUGCACAAGGACAGGGGCUGGUGCAGACGGUGCCGGACCGAGUUUCCCGAUCAACGGUCCAGCCUGGAGCACCGCGCCCGGUGUCGGCGGACCAACGGUCAGGUCGGGUCACUGACCUAAGACGUCACAAGUGAACCUCUGCACGGUCCUAAAAUGUCGCCACUUCACAACGCCCCCAGUGUCCUCGGUGCCGGCCGCUGCCGCCGCGCCGUUCGUGCGUCAUCCGACCCCACCGACCGCCGCCGCCGCCGCCUCGGCGCUCCAUGGAUACGCGCCGUGAGUGAACAAAUGGCCCGAGGUUGAGGAGUUGAAGGGUUGUGAAAGGUGGGUGUCGACCUUUUCCAGAUUUGACUGGCAUCUGGUGUGGGUAUGGCGGAGAACCAUCCAUUCCUAUGUUCAACUGGUCGUUUGAGAUGUGCUGACUUAAUUCAGUAAACAGUGAGAGCCCAU